rnacentral:rRNA from 1 species
CGAGGCGGAGCGAAUCCCCAAAAGGCGUCUCAGUUCGGAUUGCAGGCUGCAACUCGCCUGUAUGAAGUCGGAAUUGCUAGUAAUCGUGGAUCAGCAUGCCACGGUGAAUACGUUCCCGGGCCUUGUACACACCGCCCGUCACACCAUGAGAGCCGGGAACACCCGAAGUCCAUAGUCUAACCUAUAUGGAGGACGCGGCCGAAGGUGGGUUUGGUAAUUGGGGUGAAGUCGUAACAAGGUAAC